rnacentral:rRNA from 1 species
CAGUCGCCGCGGUAAUACGUAGGGUGCGAGCGUUAAUCGGAAUUACUGGGCGUAAAGCGUGCGCAGGCGGUUUGUUAAGACCGAUGUGAAAUCCCCGGGCUCAACCUGGGAACUGCAUUGGUGACUGGCAAGCUAGAGUAUGGCAGAGGGGGGUAGAAUUCCACGUGUAGCAGUGAAAUGCGUAGAGAUGUGGAGGAAUACCGAUGGCGAAGGCAGCCCCCUGGGCCAAUACUGACGCUCAUGCACGAAAGCGUGGUGAGCAAACAGGAUUAGAUACCCGUGUAGUCCCUGUCUCUUAUAC